AAGAAUUACGGGCAAACCUAGCGAAAGCCAGGGACGCAAAGCUAUGGGUCUAAAAACAGUUGUUGAUGACUGCCAGGCUGCAAUC
rnacentral:ncRNA from 1 species